UACAGAGGUCUCAAGCGUUGUUCGGAUUCAUUGGGCGUAAAGGGUGCGUAGGUGGCGGGGCAAGUCUGGUGUGAAAUCCCGGGGCUCAACCCUGGAACUGCACUGGAUACUGCCUUGCUAGAGUACUGGAGAGGGAACUGGAAUUUACGGUGUAGCGGUGAAAUGCGUAGAUAUCGUAAGGAAGACCAGUGGCGAAGGCGGGUCUCUGGACAGUUCCUGACGCUGAGGCACGAAGGUCAGGGGAGCAAACGGG
rnacentral:rRNA from 1 species